AUCGAACGCUGGCGGCAUGCCUAAUACAUGCAAGUCGAACGACUGGCGGACGGGUGAGGAAUGUCUGGGAAACUGCCUGAUGGAGGGGGCUAACUACUGGACCCGGUAGCUACUACCGCAUAACAUCGUUUCUGCCCAGAUGGGAUUAGCUAGUAGGUGGGGUAAAGGCUCACCUAGGCGACGCUCCCUAGCUGGUCUGAGAGGAUGACCAGCCACACUGGAACUGAGACACGGUCCAGACUCCGACGGGAGGCAGCAGUGGGGAAUAUUGCACAAUGGGCGCAAGCCUGAUGCAGCCAUGCGGCGUGUAUGAAGAAGGCCUUCGGGUUGUAAAGUACUUUCAGCAGGGAGGCGUUACCCACAGAAGAAGCACCGGCUAACUCCGUGCCAGCAGCCGCGGUAAUUC
rnacentral:rRNA from 1 species